rnacentral:tRNA from 1 species
GGGCCGGUAGCUCAGCUUGGCUAGAGCACCCGACUGAUAAUCGGGAGGCCAAGGGUUCGAAUCCCUUUCGGCCCA